UACGUAGGGGGCAUGCGUUGUCCGGAUUUAUUGGGCGUAAAGAGCGUGUAGGCGGUUCGGUAGGUCCGUUGUGAAAACUCGAGGCUCAACCUCGAGACGCCGAUGGAAACCAUCGAACUAGAGUCCGGAAGAGGAGAGUGGAAUUCCUGGUGUAGCGGUGAAAUGCGCAGAUAUCAGGAAGAACACCCGUGGCUAAGGCGGCUCUCUAGUACGGUACUGACGCUGAGACGCGAAAGCGUGGGUAGCGAAUGGG
rnacentral:rRNA from 1 species